rnacentral:tRNA from 1 species
AUCUUUCUAGUACAAACGUAGUAUAAGUGACUUCCAAUCACCCGGUCUUGGUUAAAGCCCAAGGAAAGAUA